rnacentral:rRNA from 1 species
UACGAAGGGGACUAGCGUUGUUCGGAAUCACUGGGCGUAAAGCGCACGUAGGCGGAUAUGCCAGUCAGGGGUGAAAUCCCGGGGCUCAACCUCGGAACUGCCUUUGAUACAGCAUGUCUUGAGUCCGAUAGAGGUGGGUGGAAUUCCUAGUGUAGAGGUGAAAUUCGUAGAUAUCGGGGGGAACACCAGUGGCGAAGGCGGCGACCUGGGCCAAUACUGACGCUGAGGUGCGAAAGCGUGGGGAGCAAACAGG